rnacentral:rRNA from 1 species
UGGGGCUGCUUGGCGAAAGUAAAUGUGUCGAUCCCCAAAAAGCGUAUGCUUGGACCAAAGACUGUGGACUGUGUUAAUUUGGGCUAUGCUAUGAAUAGUGUUGGCUAUAGAUUUCUAGUAGUGAAAUCUGAGGUACAUGACAUGAAGGUUGGUACAAUUAUGGAGUCUAAGGAUGCUACGUUCUUUGAGGACAUUUUCCCCAUGAGAGAUGUACAAAGCACUUCUAGACAGGAAUCUGAGGAGACUCCUGAACCUGCCAUUCCGAUGGAAUAUUAUAAAGAAACACAUGAUGAAAAUCCUGAGGAGAAUAAUGAGGAAACCCUUGGUAGGGGCAAGAGACAAAGGACUGUAAAGCCCUUUGGUGAUGAUUUCUUCAUAUACCUCAUGGAGGAUAGUCCCACUUCUAUUUCAGAAGCGUAUGUAUCUCCAGAAGCUGACUGCUGGAAGGAUGCGGUCCGUAGCGAGAUGGAUUCCAUCAUGGCUAACGGGACUUGGGAGCUUACUGAACGUCCCUAUGGUUGUAAACCAUUGGGAUGCAAGUGGGUGUUCAAUAAGAAGCAUAGGCCCGAUGGUAUGAUAGAAAAGUACAAGGCUAGGCUUGUGGCCAAGGGCUACGCCCAGAAAGAAGAAGAAGAUUUCUUCAACACUUAUUCACCUGUGGCCAGACUGACUAUCAUUCAAGUAUUACUCUCGUUGGCGGCCUCGCAUGGUCUUCUCAUUCAUCAGAUGGAUGUUACGACGGCUUUCCUGAACGGAGAGCUAAAGGAGGAAAUCUAUAUGCAGCAGCCUUUUGGCUUUGUGAUAGAUGGUCAGGAAGGAAAGGUGUGUAAGUUGGUGAAAUCUUUAUAUGGUCUGAGACAAGCGCCUAAGAAAUGGCAUGACAAGUUUAAUGAAACGUUGACAUCUGUUGGCUUUGUUAUAAAUGAGGCCGACAAAUGUGUAUACUAUCGCUAUGGUGGGGGCGAAGGAGUUAUAAUGUGUUUGUAUGUUGAUGAUGUACUGAUAUUUGGAACUAAUCUCAAGUUGAUCGAGGAGGUUAAGUCUUUCCUAUCUCAGAACUUUGAGAUGAAGGACCUUGGUGUGGCUGAUGUUAUCUUGAACAUCAAGCUAUUGAGAGAUGAUGAGGGUGGGAUUACACUUCUGCAAUCCCAUUAUGUUGAGAAGGUGUUGAGUCGCUUUGGAUAUUCGGACUACAAACAAUCUCAAACACCAUAUGAUCCUACUAUGUUGGUCCGAAAGUUUGAAGGCACAGCUAAGGAUCAACUGAGAUACUCUCAAAUCAUUGGUUCACUCAUGUACCUAGCAAGUGCAACGAGGCCUGACAUCGCGUUUGCUGUGAGCAAAUUGAGCCGGUUUGUUUCCAAUCCGGGUGAUGUAUAUUGGCAUGCUAUUGAGAGAGUUAUGCGCUAUCUGAAAGGUACUAUGAACUAUGGACUUCACUAUACCGGAUACCUGUCGGUACUUGAAGGGUAUAGUGAUGCGAAUUGGAUCUCUGAUGCUGAUGAGAUGAAGGCCACAACAGGGUAUAUGUUUACUCUUGGAGGUGGUGCUGUU